rnacentral:rRNA from 1 species
GAUGAACGCUGGCGGCGUGCCUAAUACAUGCAAGUCGAGCGAACGGACGAGAAGCUUGCUUCUCUGAUGUUAGCGGCGGACGGGUGAGUAACACGUGGAUAACCUACCUAUAAGACUGGGAUAACUUCGGGAAACCGUAGCUAAUACCGGAUAAUAUUUUGAACCGCAUGGUUCAAAAGUGAAAGACGGUCUUGCUGUCACUUAUAGAUGGAUCCGCGCUGCAUUAGCUAGUUGGUAAGGUAACGGCUUACCAAGGCAACGAUGCAUAGCCGACCUGAGAGGGUGAUCGGCCACACUGGAACUGAGGCACGGUCCAGACUCUUACGGGAGGCAGCAGUAGGGAAUCUUCCGCAAUGGGCGAAAGCCUGACGGAGCAACGCCGCGUGAGUGAUGAAGGUCUUCGGAUCGUAAAACUCUGUUAUUAGGGAAGAACAUAUGUGUAAGUAACUGUGCACAUCUUGACGGUACCUAAUCAGAAAGCCACGGCUAACUACGUG